CUUUCUGUCUGCAGAGCAGAAAUGUUUGAGGAAGUAAAAUCCCAAUCAGCUUGAUGCUGAGGAGAAGGGCUGUGCAGCAGAGAGGCUGUUUAGUUUCUUCAUUCUACUGCAGUGGAAGAACAUUGAUCAUCUGCUGUCUGUUUGGUUUCAACAACUCCAAAGACAUGUUGCUUUACCUCUUUAUACUUUUAUCUCACUUUAUAGAGUGUAAAGGACAAGACAGCGUGACCCACCCAACAGGAGAUGUCAUUGCUGCUGAAGGAGACACAGUUACACUUGCUUGUACAUUUAAGACCAGUUACCCAAAUCCAUAUUUGUUCUGGUACAAACAGGAUGGAAACAACAGCCCCAAAUUCAUCCUGAGCCGAGUUAACCUGGAUGAAGGGAACACACCAGAUGAGUUUAAAGAAAGAUUUUCAUCUACACUGGAUUCCAAUUCAGUUCCUCUGAAGAUCCAGAAGCUGCAGCUGUCUGACUCUGCUGUGUACUACUGUGCUCUGCGGCCCACAGUGACAGGAAAC